GUAGGUGGCAAGCGUUGUCCGGAAUUAUUGGGCGUAAAGCGCGCGCAGGCGGUUCCUUAAGUCUGAUGUGAAAGCCCACGGCUCAACCGUGGAGGGUCAUUGGAAACUGGAGAACUUGAGUACAGAAGAGGAAAGCGGAAUUCCACGUGUAGCGGUGAAAUUGCGUAGAGAUGUGGAGGAACACCAGUGGCGAAGGCGGCUUUUCUGGUCUGUAACUGACGCUGAGGCGCGAAAGCGUGGGGAGCAAACAGGGAUUAGAUACCCUGGUAGUCCACGCCGUAAACGAUGAGUGCUAAGUGUUAGGGGGGUUUCCGCCCCCUUAGUGCUGCAGCUAACGCAUUAAGCACUCCGCCUGGGGAGUACGGCCGCAAGGCUG
rnacentral:rRNA from 1 species